rnacentral:rRNA from 1 species
AGCAGCCGCGGUAAUCCCAGCUCCAAUAGCGUAUAUUAAAGUUGUUGCAGUUAAAAAGCUCGUAGUUGAAUUUCGGGAUCAAUACGUCGGUCGUGCUUCGGUACGUACUGGUGUAAUUGAUUUCUCCCUUCUGACGAACCAUGAUGUCAUUAACUUGGUGUCAUGGGAAAUCAGGACUGUUACUUCGAAAAAAUUAGAGUAGUUUAAAGCAAGCUAACGCUUGAAUACAUUAGCAUGGAAUAAUGAAAUAGGACGUUCGAUCCUAUUUUGUUGGUUUCUAGGAUUGACGUAAUGAUUAAUAGGGGAUAGUUGGGGGCAUUAGUAUUCAAUUGUCAGAGGUGAAAUUCUUGGAUUUAUUGAAGACUAACUACUGCGAAAGCAUUUGCCAAGGAUGUUUUCAUUAAUCAAGAACGAAAGUUAGGGGAGUCGAAGACGAUCAGAUACCGUCGUAGUCUUAACCAUAAAC